rnacentral:ncRNA from 1 species
ACAUAUAGUAAAGUUUUUCGUGCGCUGACAUAGAUCCUACAAAGGGUGUUGGUCGAUUAUGACAGUACAACAGUGGUUAUGGAAGUUGAAAUCCGUUAAGGAGUGCAUAACAACUCACCAGUCGAAUCAACUAGCCCCGAAAAUAGAUGGCGCUUAAGCGACCGACCUACACCCGACCGUCAGGGCAAGUGCCAAUGCCCCGAUG